UAGGUCUACAACUGACUUUACAGAAUCCAUUAUCCAUGAAACCAUGGUAGCACUUUAUAGAAGCAUGACACGGACAAGACUCGAUCUCGGUCGAUACUGGAGUUAACCAAGUUUUACCGGCAUCCUUGUGCACAUGUCAUGACCAGGCCAUAACCUAUCACGUUCCGCGUGACUAGGUUAUUCCACGACCUUUCAUAACUAGCACAUGCCAUCAUCAUAUUUUACCAAUGUUAUAAUGUGAGUAGCAUGUAGGAAGAAUGCAAGGUAUUAUUUCAUGCAAGAUUAUUAUCAACAUAACCUCAAAUCA
rnacentral:lncRNA from 1 species